rnacentral:rRNA from 1 species
CACGCCGCGUGAGUGAUGAAGGUUUUCGGAUCGUAAAGCUCUGUUGUUAGGGAAGAACAAGUACCGUUCGAAUAGGGCGGUACCUUGACGGUACCUAACCAGAAAGCCACGGCUAACUACGUGCCAGCAGCCGCGGUAAUACGUAGGUGGCAAGCGUUGUCCGGAAUUAUUGGGCGUAAAGGGCUCGCAGGCGGUUCCUUAAGUCUGAUGUGAAAGCCCCCGGCUCAACCGGGGAGGGUCAUUGGAAACUGGGGAACUUGAGUGCAGAAGAGGAGAGUGGAAUUCCACGUGUAGCGGUGAAAUGCGUAGAGAUGUGGAGGAACACCAGUGGCGAAGGCGACUCUCUGGUCUGUAACUGACGCUGAGGAGCGAAAGCGUGGGGAGCGAACAGGAUUAGAUACCCUGGUAGUCCACGCCGUAAACGAUGAGUGCUAAGUGUUAGGGGGUUUCCGCCCCUUAGUGCUGCAGCUAACGCAUUAAGCACUCC